AUGGAUGGCGACGUCCUAAGGUUGAUCAGCGACAUGCGUGGGUGUUGGAGUCCGGUGUCCACGAGCCCCGAUGGCAUUCUAUGUGUCACCGGCUAUCUGGAUAGCUACCCGGGCAACGCUGUUUUUGCCGGGUUGAUCGACCUUGGCACCAUGGAGGCGGUUGUCACCCGCUUAGAAGACAAUAAAGCCUGGGGCUUCGGUCGUGCCGUCCCGUCAGACGCGUAUAAGACUGUGCGCUUCCGAGACCACAUUAGCGGGUGUUAUUGUGAGGUUUACACAAUAGGGGGUGGUGACGGGUGGAGACGGAGGAAAUCACACCCAUUGCAUUACAAAUACGAUAGCUUUGAAAACUAUGCUGCAACCGUCAAUGGUGUGUUGUAUUUAUUGGCAAGGGCGAAGCCACAGGGCAUGGACUAUGUACUCCGCUUUGACAUCGAGAGCGAGGAGUGGAAGAAUAAUAUCAAAGGCCAUCAAAUGUGGACAUCUGGGGGCAUGAUAUCAGCUUAG
rnacentral:rRNA from 1 species